AUGAUUUUCCCCAGCUACGUCUUUUAUUCUUUCAGGAAGACUGGACAAGGGGAUAUUGAGAAAAAGGGCAAAAUCAUCAGUUCCCUACAGGAGCUUCAGGUUGGUGGGAGCAGACAGUGCUUGGAAACUCAGAUGUCAGAGCUCACGGGGAAAACCACCCUCACCCACCCUGCUGGAGGAGUACAAUGGCACAAUGGCACCCUCUGUUGCCCUGCACGCUGCUCCCAUGUGGAUGUAGAACUCCCAAAAGUAUCCAUUCCCCACCUCUGAAUCUCAUCUCUUCCCAUCGAGCUUCCUUGUUUGUUUGGAGUUAUCCUGUUAUUUCCAUUUGUAAUAAAGUCCGUCUUGUUCUU
rnacentral:lncRNA from 1 species